ACUCUCUGCUUCCUCUCUCGUCCUUCACGCGACACGCACGCACGCACGCAAGUUCCCCCAUGGCGACGCCGCGCUGCCGCUUUUUCCCAGCCGCCACCGGCCUUCUCCGGCGUCGCUGCCUACCGGCCCUGCUCCGCCUCCUCCUGAACUCCAAACCCCCCAGCUCGAUUUGGCUUUGGUGGUCUCUCUCGUUCGCCCCCGACCCCGAAACCCUAGCCACUGCCGGCCGAUUCGGCCAUCGCCGGCCUCGGCGAGCAUUGCCGUCGGUCGAGAUGGCGCCUCCACGGCCGUCUCCGUCCGCUACCCUUCGCCGCUUCUUCACCUCUGUCGUUUGGCUGAUGCGGUCUCGCCUCGGACUCCGCCCCGGCUUAUUACCGCCGCCGCGCGUCCACGCGGCACUGGCUGGACUUCCGCCGGCCCUUCAACUGCCGCGACGCCGCCACUAGCAUCGACACACCCCUGGCCAAACCAAGCUGUGGAAUCGGCUUGGUUGCCAGCGCGGUGCCGCGCUCCGCCUGCUGCUCCCCAAUGGUGACCCCGCCUCCUCGUCGACCACGAGCCCCAGCUCGAGCUCCUGGUGGUUAUGUGGUGUUAGUUGCUGCUGCGGUGGUGAUGGGGUACUGCUGCUCUGAUGCUUACUUCAGCUGCGACCCCGACGUCGGCGGGACAGUGCCGUAGGCGCAACCCCGGCGUCCUCUGCCUUGCCUGCCUCCUCUACAGGGCACUGUGAGCUACUCCUCUCUUUCUCUAGGUCAUAAAUUUGGUGGUCAUGAAUUUGCGUGUGCUCGAACUGGUUGCUGUAUGUCAAUGGGGAUCAUCAUAUGAUGCAAUGUGAACCUGCUGCUAACUUAUUACUAAUAGUAAUGCCUCCGUUUGGAUGAUUUGAUCAUCCCAAACAUGGGUGUGGCCUGAUUUUAUAUCCUGAUGAAACUGAAGCGUAAUAAUGUUGUUAAAUAGGUACUGUUUUAGUGGCUGAUGGAAUAGGUGUUACAUACACCUCGCAGUAUCUGGAUGGGCUACAUAUACAUUCAGGUUAUACAACUUAGGGUAUUGAUUUCCCUAGUGAUGUGGUUGAUUUAGAGUGCUUCUAUGGGCUGUGUUACUGAUCCUUGAUUAUCAGGUGAUAGUCUGUCCAUACAUCAUCAUGGCCUGGGACAUAUUGAUAUAUACUUGCUAGAUCACCUAUGGGCUUAUAGUUAUUGUAGCUUUGUUGUAGGCUUCAGAUGAUCCAUUGAUCAUCUGAUCACUUGCAGGGUAUAGAGUAUGACUGAUCCUUGACUACUAGCCCUGAUCUACAUUCUGCGCCAUGCCAUCAUGCCCUGAUCAUGAAGCACUGACACUUUGAUUUGUGGGGAAUUAUGACUUCAUCAUUAUUAUAUAUAUGUUCAAGGUCGGAUGUAAGUAUUUGGCUAAUUAUUAAAGCUUUGAUAAAGAGAAUGUACAUGUUUCUUAAUUAUUGCUGUCAGAGUAUAGUUAAUAUUCGUAAUUUUGGGUGAGAGUUGAUUUUUCCUGUUAAGUUGCCAUGAUUUCUCGCCUGAUAAAGCUAACUACAUUUCAAAUCAUUAUUUCAAUCUGUUUGCCCUCGAGAUGUGGAGAAAUUGUGAGAAAUGUGGAGAAAGAGUUGUGGGAAAAUGACCCUCGAGAUGUGAAGUGCAAGAAGAGGAGAAUUGGUAAAUCUCAAGGUACCAUGUUGAAUACUGAAGGCGAUGCUGAUCAUUGAUGCUGUACAGGAGCAUAUUCUUCUAGCUAGACAGGUACACUGCUGAAGACUGGGAUCAACUGAAGGUGAUGCUGUCACAUUGUGAUGGUGUUUGAAUUGGAAACAUGGUGAUGAUGUUCACAGAGUACGUAUUGAGAUAGUGUGCUGAACAUCCACUGUGUGUAACUGAUAUUGGGUGAUAAUUACAGAAUAAAGUGCACUGGAUUAAUGUGUUGGCACUGUGUGCUUAUUCUUGUAUGACAGUACAUAUGUUCAUAUUGUGUGCUUCUUGUAUGAUGCCAUUGUUUUCA